rnacentral:rRNA from 1 species
GUGGGGAAUUUUGCGCAAUGGGCGAAAGCCUGACGCAGCAAUGCCGCGUGAGUGAUGAAGGCCUUCGGGUCGUAAAGCUCUGUCAGAGGGGAAGAAACUCCCGUCGGUUAAUACCCGGCGGGCCUGACGGUACCCUCAAAGGAAGCACCGGCUAACUCCGUGCCAGCAGCCGCGGUAAUACGGAGGGUGCAAGCGUUGUUCGGAAUUAUUGGGCGUAAAGCGCGUGUAGGCGGCUCGUUAAGUCUGAUGUGAAAGCCCUGGGCUUAACCUGGGAAGUGCAUUGGAAACUGGCGAACUUGAGUAUGGGAGAGGAAAGUGGAAUUCCGAGUGUAGGGGUGAAAUCCGUAGAUAUUCGGAGGAACACCAGUGGCGAAGGCGGCUUUCUGGACCAAUACUGACGCUGAGACGCGAAAGCGUGGGGAGCAAACAGGAUUAGAAACCCCAGUAGUCC